rnacentral:lncRNA from 1 species
GAAGAAGGGGAGACAUUUCAGCAUGUGUAUUCUUGUUUGUAUAAUCAAAAGGCUUAAAACCUGCUAUACAGGCAUACAUGACAAAGCUUCUGUCGUCGUUAACUUUUACAAAAAUAUUCUCCUCUGAAACUAACAGGCCAAAUUUAACCAAACUUGGCCACAAUCAUCAUUGGGGUAUCUAGUUUAAAAAUGUGUCCGAUGACCAUGCCAACCAACCAAGAUGGCCGCCAUGGCUAAAUAUAGAACAUAGGGGUAAAAUGUAGAUUUUGGCUUAUAUCUCUGAAACCAAAGCAUUUAAAGCAAAUCUGACAUGGGUUAAAUUGUUCAUUAGGUCAAGAUCUAUCUGCCAUGAAUAUUUCAGACAAAUCAGACAACCCGUUUUUGGGUUGCCGCCCCCGAACUAGUAAUUUUCAGGAAAUUUUGCAGUUUUUGGUUAUUAUCUUGAAUAUCAUUAUAGAUAGAGAUAAACUGUGAACAGCAAUAAUGUUCAGCAAAGUAAGAUCUACAAAUAAGGCAACAUGACCAAAAUCGGCAAAUGACCUCUUAAAGAGUUAUUGUCCUUUAUAGUAAAUUUAUAACCAUUUUUUUAAAUUUUAGUAAUCUUUUAAAAAAAUCUUCUCUGAAACUACUGGGCCAAAUUUAACCAAACUUGGCCACAAUCAUCAAUGGGUAUCUAGUUUUAAAAAAAUUUCCGAUGACAUGGC